rnacentral:lncRNA from 1 species
GUGGAGUUCACGUCUAGUAAGUUGGUCUUGAUUUUUUUUUUCUUUCAGAACCUUCUGGAUUUCAGCUUUGGCAAGCUUCCUCUGUUUCUGAGACACCUCCAUCACCUGGGUUACAAUCCCAUCCAUGAUUUUCCCCAUCUCCAGGCAUUUUUCAUGGAAAGCUCCUCAUGCUUUUUAAUUCCAGUUUAUCCAUUUGUGUGGCUUUAACCUCCACAUCCAGGUCUUUCUGGCUAAACUGCAGUAUAUCCACAAUGGGGCCAAUGGACACAUAAGGGAGGCCCUAUCACAGGAACACGAACACCCGGAGUCGCUAGAAAUCAGAUUCCACCGGCUUUGCUUCAGGCCGACUUCCUAAGGAAGGCAUGAUCCUUUGCACAUGGCCUGCUAUCAACAAUCCUCUACAAUGAUUCUCAGCAUCACCUAGGGAGCUUAUGUAAAAUCUCAAAUUCCUGGGCCCUAUCCCCAGAGUUUCUUAUCAAGUAAGUCUGCAUUGGGAUCUGAGGAUUUGCAUCUCUAACAAAAAUUCCUAGGCGAUGCUCACACUGUUGGUGUAAGGUUUCCUUGAUGGAGAACUAUCAAAGCAGUCAAAGCUAUCAAAAUAAAAAAGAAUUCUGAUUGGGUGCAGUGGCUCACACCUGUCAUUCCAGCACUUUGAGAGGCCAAGGUGGGCAGAUCACAUGAGGCCAGGAGUUCAAGACCAGCCUGGCCAACAUGGCAGAAACCCCAUCUCUACUAAAAAUACCAAAAUUAGCCGGGCAUGGUGGAACACACCUGCAAUCCCAGCUACUCGGGAGGCUGAGGCAAGAGAAUCGCUUGAACCUGGGAGGCAGAAGUUGCAGUGAAACAAGUUGGUGCCAAUGCAUUCCAGCCUGGAUGAUGGAGCGAGACUCUGUCUCAAGAAAAAAAAAACAAAAACAAAAACAGAACUCUGCCUCAUAGCGUCUUUUAAGUUAUACACUGGACCUAUCCUUUCCUCACUGACAGACAUUUUAAAAAUUUUUUGGUAAGGCCUAGUUCAUAUAAAAUGUAAUCCAAGCCAAAAGUUAACAAGAAUAAGGGGAGGAAAGGGGACUCCAAUAGCAGAGAAAGGUAUUUACCUGGGAUAUACACUGCAAGAAAAUCAAAGCUAUAAGAAACGUCCAUGAAUAGUAGCCAUAAGGCAUCAGAGUGAUAAAAUUCCUGUCCCUAGGAGGGAAUAUUGGAGUUUGCCAGAGAAACAGAAUGAGAGAGACAGAGAGGUUUAUUGUAGGAAUUGGCUCAUAUGAUUACGGAGGCUGAGAAGACCCACGAUCUGCCAUCUGCAAGCUGGAGAAUCAGGAAAGCUGGAGGUGUAAUUCAGUCAAGUCCAAUGGCCAGAGAAGCAAGUGUACUGAUAUCCAAGAGCAGGAGAAAAUAGAUGUCCCAGAACAAGCAGAGAGGCUGAUUUUGUCCUUCCUCUGCCUUUUUGUUUCAUAUGGGGCACUGAAUGGACUGAUGCCCAUCCACAUUAGUGAGGGUGGAUCUUCUUUACUCAGUCUACCAGUAGAAAUGUCAAUGACUUCCAGAAACACCCUCACCAACACACGUGGAAAUAAUGUUUUACCAGGUAUCUGGGCAUCCCUUGGUUCACUCAAGUUGACACAAAAUUAACCAUCACAGAAGGAGACUGGCCUUACUCUGAAAUUAGGAAACUAAAGAAGUGACCAGAAUGGAGACUAGGUAGAGACAACUAGUUCUCUACCAAACAUGUACAGUUAUUCGUUGGUAUCUGAAGGGGAUUGGUUCCAGGAACUCUCAGGGAUACCAAAAUCUGCAGGUGCUCAAGUCAUUUAUAUAAAAUAUUACAGUAUUUGCAUAUAACCUUUGCACAUCUUCCAUAUACUUUAAAUCAUCUCUACAUUACUUAUAAUAAUGAAUGUGUAAAUGCUAUGAAAAUAGUUACUACACUAUUGUUUAUUUGUAUUUUUAUUGAAUUGUUUUGGGGUGGGGGGCAGCUGUAUCUUUCUUAGUAAUAGAACCCCUGGUUUUAGCUGGGCACAUGACUGCCCUCAAUAAAGAUUAAAGUACCCCAGCCUUCCUUGAGAUUGUGGCCAUGUGACUGAACUUUAGACAGUGAGAUAUAAGCAGAUAUCUUCUGUGGCAGUGUUAGGAAACUAUUAAAGACAGUAAGAACAUUGCCCUUUGCCUUCUUUUUCCUUUCUUCAUUUUUCUGCCUGGAAUGCAAAUGUGAUGGCUAACACCCUAGCAGCCAUUUUAGAUUAUGAAGAUGAGAGUCACUCCCCAGGAAGGGUGGACCUGAAAGCUGGAUUCUAGAUGUGGAAUGACAAUACCAGCCCUGGACUACCUACCUGUAGGCUGUGUGUGUGUGUGUGUGAUUGACAGAGAGAGAGAGAGAUAGAUACCACAAGUAACACAAAGCAUCAUACCUGGGACUGGGAAGGUUAAUGUUUAAACAUUUUAAAUGUGGCAUUGGUUUGUUGAAGACAGUCAAGCAGUAGGUGCUGCAGGCUUUGUUGAGGCUAGAAAGCUGUUGGUCUUUAUUAGGUGAUGGCAAAACAAUGGAUCACAUUUUCAUGUGCUGUGUCUUGGGAGGCAAAUGAUGAGAAUGUAGGAUUGGGGAAAAUGGUAAGGAAAAUCCAAAAUGUUCAUGUUUUCUAACCCCUUCUUGCCAAUCUUAAAAGAAGGACAAACAGGCUAGAUUAAGCAAGUCUACAGUUACAAUUGGAAGGAAACACAGCCGUACUAAGGAAGUACUCUGUCUGUGGCCUGCAGUCUAGUUUGACUAGGUCCUGUAUUUGAGCUUUGAAAGAGUAAAGAAUACAAGUGCUCGUAUACCCCUGAAGUAGUUACCAGCAGUGACUGCAAGGAGGUAAUCUUAUGGGAUGAAACUAUAACUCUGUAUUAACCAUCAUAUAUAGCAUAUAUGUGUAUAUGUAUGUGUGUGUGUGUAUAUGUGUAUAUAAAUAUAUGUGUGUGUAUAUACACACAUGUACACACCCUACAACCCAGUGAUUUCAAAAAAUUAAACAUUUGUUUAGCUCAUGAAUCUGUGGGUUGGGUGAACAUUUCUAUUGGUCUUGGCUGGGCUCACCUGUACCCAGUCAGCUGCAGGGUCUAGCUCUUCUUAUCUUGGCUGGGAUCUCACACAUGUCUAGGAUCAGCUGCUUUACUAGUCUAGGAUUGUCUUGGCUGAGACAGGUGGACUACUCAGUUCUCCUCCACUGCCUUAUCCUUCAGCUGGCCAGCCCAGAAAUGUUGCCAUGUUUACAGCAUAAGAGCAAGCAAGAAAGAAUAAUAUGCAACCACUUUUCCAAGCCUAAGGUGAAAGGGCGGGCAGAACCUGUGGUGUUAGGAGGCAACU